GCGACAUGUCUCUUAAGGCACCAAUGAACAAAGCUGAGCGCCAGUGCUUCUAGUCUUACGGGAGUCUCUUUCCAAUACUCUACUGUAAUAAGGACACACUCAGGAAAUAAAAUGGAUCAGAGGGGACCUGAGAGUAGGACACACGUUAACCCAGAUAAGCUCUGACAAAACACCAUUACCUUCUCCUGUUCACACAGCCACAUACAGGACAGCUAAUAGUCUCCUGUCCCUUGGAGGAAUCCAUCAACAUCAAAAGCAAAUGCACAGGUCGCAACUGUAAAUCCUGCAAGAACAAGGAAGGACAAUUCAGUUAAAAUAAAACUACAUUUAAAAAAAAGAAAGAAAAUUAAAG